AUUGAACGCUGGCGGAAUGCUUUACACAUGCAAGUCGAGCGGCAGCGCGGGGGCAACCCUGGCGGCGAGCGGCGAACGGGUGAGUAACAUAUCGGAACGUACCCAGUCGUGGGGGAUAACUAUCCGAAAGGAUAGCUAAUACCGCAUACGUCCUGAGGGAGAAAGCGGGGGAUCGCAAGACCUCGCGCGAUUGGAGCGGCCGAUAUCGGAUUAGCUAGUUGGUGGGGUAAAGGCUCACCAAGGCGACGAUCCGUAGCGGGUCUGAGAGGACGACCCGCCACACUGGAACUGAGACACGGUCCAGACUCCUACGGGAGGCAGCAGUGGGGAAUUUUGGACAAUGGGGGCAACCCUGAUCCAGCCAUGCCGCGUGUGUGAAGAAGGCCUCGG
rnacentral:rRNA from 1 species